ensembl:snRNA U1 U1 spliceosomal RNA
UUACUUACUUGAAUGAGGAGACACCAUGAUCAAGAAAGUGGUUUAUACAGGGCAAGGCUGACCCCUGUGAAUUCCCCAAAUGUACAAUCUUGACUGCAGAAUUUAUGGUAGUGGGGGACUGCAGGCACGCUCUCCCUGC